CAGCCGCCGCGGUAAUACAGAGGAUGCAAGCGUUAUCCGGAAUGAUUGGGCAUAAAGUGUCUGUAGGUGGCUUUUCAAGUCCGCCGUCAAAUCCCAGGGCUCAACCUUGGACAGGCGGUGGAAACUACCAAGCUGGAGUAUGGUAGGGGCAGAGGGAAUUUCCGGUGGAGCGGUGAAAUGCGUUGAGAUCGGAAAAAACACCAACGACGAAAGCGCUCUGCUGGGCCGACACUGACACUUAGAGACGAAAGCUAGGGGAGCAAAUGGGAUUAGAUACCCGCGUAGUCCCUGUCUCUUAUAC
rnacentral:rRNA from 1 species